AAAUCAACCACCCAGAUUCAGGAAAUUUACAGAACUACCCCUACACACAAAUCCUCCGCUUCUACUUCUUUCCCCUUCUUGUGGUAGUAGCCUUCUUCGCUGGUGACUUCACGGCCUUCGCAGGUGUCUUCUUAGCCGGCUCCUUCUUGGCUGGUGUAGCCUUUGGUGCAGCUUUCCGGCUUGGAGUGGUUCUGGUAGCCGUUUUUGCAACCUUGGCUGGCUU
rnacentral:lncRNA from 1 species